AUUCCGGUUGAUCCUGCCGGAGGCCAUUGCUAUCGGAGUCCGAUUUAGCCAUGCUAGUCGCACGAGUUCAGACUCGUGGCGAAAAGCUCAGUGACACGUGGCCAAACUACCCUAUGGACGGAACUAACCUCGGGAAACUGAGGCUAAUCCUCGAUACGGCUCUCAUGCUGGAACGCCGAGAGCCGGAAACGCCCCGGCGCCAUAGGAUGUGGCUGCGGCCGAUUAGGUUGACGGUGGGGUAACGGCCCACCGUGCCAGUAAUCGGUAUGGGUCAUGAGAGUGAGAACCCAGAGACGGUAUCUGAGACAAGAUACCGGGCCCUACGGGGCGCAGCAGGCGCGAAACCUUUACACUGCACGACAGUGCAAUAAGGGGACUCCGAGUGCGAGGGCAUACAGUCCUCGCUUUUCUGGACCGUAAGGAGGUCCAAGAAUAAGGGCUGGGCAAGACCGGUGCCAGCCGCCGCGGUAAUACCGGCAGCCCGAGUGAUGGCCAUAUUAUUGGGCCUAAAGCGUCCGUAGCUA
rnacentral:rRNA from 1 species